rnacentral:rRNA from 1 species
GCGAGUGGCGAACGGGUGAGUAAUGUAUCGGAACGUGCCCAGUAGCGGGGGAUAACUACGCGAAAGCGUAGCUAAUACCGCAUACGCCCUACGGGGGAAAGCAGGGGAUCUUCGGACCUUGCACUAUUGGAGCGGCCGAUAUCGGAUUAGCUAGUUGGUGGGGUAACGGCCUACCAAGGCGACGAUCCGUAGCUGGUUUGAGAGGACGACCAGCCACACUGGGACUGAGACACGGCCCAGACUCCUACGGGAGGCAGCAGUGGGGAAUUUUGGACAAUGGGGGAAACCCUGAUCCAGCCAUCCCGCGUGUGCGAUGAAGGCCUUCGGGUUGUAAAGCACUUUUGGCAGGAAAGAAACGUCGCGGGCUAAUACCCCGCGGAACUGACGGUACCUGCAGAAUAAGCACCGGCUAACUACGUGCCAGCAGCCGCGGUAAUACGUAGGGUGCAAGCGUUAAUCGGAAUUACUGGGCGUAAAGCGUGCGC